rnacentral:rRNA from 1 species
CCUACGGGAGACAGCAGUGAGGAAUAUUGGUCAAUGGGCGCGAGCCUGAACCAGCCAAGUAGCGUGAAGGAUGACUGCCCUACGGGUUGUAAACUGCGGUUAUAAAGGAAUAAAGUGAGGCAAGUGUGCCUUUUUGUAUGUACUUUAUGAAUAAGGAUCGGCUAACUCCGUGCCAGCAGCCGCGGUAAUACGGAGGAUCCGAGCGUUAUCCGGAUUGAUUGGGUUUAAAGGGAGCGUAGAUGGGUUGUUAAGUCAGUUGUGAAAGUUUGCGGCUCAACCGUAAAAUUUCAAUUGAUACUGGCAGCCUUGAGUACAGUUGAGGUAGGCGGAAUUCGUGUUGUAGCGGUGAAAUGCUUAGCUCUCACGAAGCACUCCGAUUGCGAAGGCAGCUUACUACACUGCCACUGACAUUGAUGCUCGAAAGUGUGGGUAUCAAACAGGAUUAGCUACCCCAGUAGUC